rnacentral:rRNA from 1 species
CCCUUAGAUGUCCUGGGCCGCACGCGCGCUGCACUGACAUGUUCAACAAGCCUCCUAGUUCGACAGGAUUUGGGAAAUCUUUGAACGCAUGUCGUGAUAGGGAUAGAUCAUUGCAAUUAUUGAUCUUGAACGAGGAAUUCCUAGUAAACGCGAGUCAUCAGCUCGCAUUGAUUACGUCCCUGCCCUUUGUACACACCGCCCGUCGCACCUACCGAUUGAAUGUUUCGGUGAAGAUUCCGGAUAGGACUUUUUUGAUUUAUUUCAAUUCUGUCUUAAAAGCUAUCUAAACCUCAACAUUUAGAGGAAGGUGAAGUCGUAACA